rnacentral:lncRNA from 12 species
GUUUUCCUCGAGCCAUCGUCCCGAGAAGCAUGACAGAGGAACAGCGCCCCAGAGGAGAGCGGGGACCUCCUGGGUUCCCGCCCCCACAGCACUUGGGUCACUGCUGGCUUCAGCUCACCCUUCUGCACGAACUCACAGAGAAUUUCCUCGAGACACUGGAUGGUCCCAACUGAGGCAUCCACUAGCAGCAAAGAGAGAUCCUGAAUCCAAGCCUGGGCCUUGGCUCUGGUGGAGUCCCCUUUGGGGUUGAGGUAAAGUGGGCGGUAAGCACUGAGCACAGCUUCCCGGACCCCAGGCUCCUUACACCAGAUGAGGGGCAGCAUGCGGCGCACCCCAAACAGGGCCUGAGGGGCCCCAAACUGGAACAGCGUCACAAAGAAUUCAGUCACCUCCUGUACCACUGUUGUUGUCUUCUCAUACGUCAUCUUGCUGAUGAUGCCAAUGGCCUCUGUGAUCUUCAGAGAAGCGGUCAUCAUGAUUCGAAAUCCAGAACACGUGAAAAGAGAAGCUCUAGAGGUAAAGCUGCCCCACACAAGAAAGAGAAAAUUGGGAAAGGAAAGAGAACGGUUGGAGAGUUGAUAAAGAGGGUGACGUCAGGUCCAGUGGCCCCGCAUCUAUUACCUGCUUAGAGACUAUUUCUGUCCUCUCUCAACUGAGUCUGACUCUGAAGGCUGAUCCUUCAGAUCAAGUAUACAGUAAUAUUUUUCUGAAGUAAAAUGAAAUUCGCAAGUCACGUUCAAUCUCAUGCUUAACCCUAACUUCUAGCAAGCGCUGCUACAAAUGCUGAAGAUUCCUUUUAAUUCUGUAGAGAGCAAAAUGGGGCCUCUCAUGCCAAGCAGGAACCCGUGUCAAGCAGCAAGGCAAGCAGUUAAGGUCCUCCAGCUCCGAGAUAUGGCAGGACCAGGGUCAGCUGUGCCCUAGAACUGAUAGCAGCGGAACCACAGGAAGUCUGCAGGGACCCAAUAGUGAUUAAAUCCCUUUAAAAGGGGGAGGAUUUUGGCAGCAAACUGUUAGAUGCCUCAGACUUGACCCCUUGUGUCUGACCACUUAAAACAGGCAACUGCCGCCAAGGCUCUGCCCCACUGAUCUCUGACCAGAACUGAGAUCCUUCACUGCUUAAACAGAAGCGGGAAGUGCCAGGAGCUGACCUGGACCAGACCCAGGGCUCAUCCCAGUGCGCGCCCACAGACUGAGUUCACAUUUGGUCACUUAACUUCCUGCACCCCUUCCCUUACCUGGUUUGUUGUGUGGAUUGUCUUCUGUCCUGCUCUGGGUGCUGUGUGAGAAGUCCAGUUCAAUCACAUGAUGAAUUGUCAUUGAGUUUGGAAUCCUGAACCUGCCUUAUACUUGUGUUUUAACUUUGCUUUAUGAUCGAAUACAGCUGCCAUUGUGGAAAGACACGACUCGUGUGUGCCCCUCCACAGCGUGCUCAUGACGUGCUCGUGCAACUGUGUCUCACACUCUCCAGUGGAGAUGUUAACAUUACCAAAGAGCAAUCAAAUAAAGAGAGAGGAGGAGACUUAGAGGAACGGUUA